UGCGCAGGCGGGCUUGUAAGUCAGUGGUGAAAUACUGCCGCUCAACGGUAGAACUGCCAUUGAUACUGCAAGUCUUGAAUAUGGUUGAGGUAGGCGGAAUGUGUCGUGUAGCGGUGAAAUGCAUAGAUAUGACACAGAACGCCAAUUGCGAAGGCAGCUUACUAAGCCAUUAUUGACGCUGAAGCACGAAAGCGUGGGGAGCGAACAGGAUUAGAUACCCUGGUAGUCC
rnacentral:rRNA from 1 species